rnacentral:rRNA from 1 species
AACGAACGCUGGCGGCAUGCCUAACACAUGCAAGUCGAACGAGAUCUUCGGGUCUAGUGGCGCACGGGUGCGUAACGCGUGGGAAUCUGCCCUUUGGUUCGGAAUAACAGUUGGAAACGACUGCUAAUACCGGAUGAUGACGAAAGUCCAAAGAUUUAUCGCCAGAGGAUGAGCCCGCGUAGGAUUAGCUAGUUGGUGUGGUAAAGGCGCACCAAGGCGACGAUCCUUAGCUGGUCUGAGAGGAUGAUCAGCCACACUGGGACUGAGACACGGCCCAGACUCCUACGGAAGGCAGCAGUGGGGAAUAUAGGACACUGGGCGAAAGCCUGAUCCAGCAAUGCCGCGUGAGUGAUGAAGGCCUUAGGGUUGUAAAGCUCUUUUACCCGGGAUGAUAAUGACAGUACCGGGAGAAUAAGCUCCGGCUAACUCCGUGCCAGCAGCCGCCGUAA